GCCCUUUGUCGCUAAGAUU
rnacentral:snRNA from 1 species